AAUGGAAGGUCCAGUGUCGCCUUUGAGAUCGUUGGUGGAGUGUCGCACGUGCUCUCGCCGCCGUAGUUAUUUACACCGGGGAAAAGAUGUGACUGUUUACUGUGGCUGUGGUGAUCCAAAAUCCAACACAGUAGGGAAGACUGAUAAGGCGUAUCCCUCCAACGACCGGAUGAACUCGAGUGCCAAAGGAAAUCUUGCAACGGUUACCAUUUGGAGAAAAUGAACAGUGCAACAAUGAAAUUAUAGCCAACAAAAAACGAUAGAAAUAACAACAAGAAGAAAAAAAAAAAAGACAGUGUAAGAAUAAAACUAUAUUGCGAUACGAAAAUAAAUACGACUGCCGCCAGACUCUGAAAAAUAACCCUCAAUAAAAAAAAAAGGGGGAGAUUUCAGCUCGUUUGCGCACCAUGUCUAAAGGAAUACCAAGAUGGCUGUUGGUGUCUAUGGCGUCUCUCGUAGCUCUGUCUGGGUGCAUUGAUGCUAGAAGUAUAACCUGUCGCCAAGGAAUUGACUGUAAAAGGAUAUGUGAUGACAGGAAUCCUGCUUACCGGCCGCAGGAUUGCACCAAUUGUUGUGAAGGCGACGCUGAGACCAUGGCUUUGAAAGAAAACACAGUUGAAGACAGUAAGUGCAUUAUUCUUUCAGUAUUUAGUAUAUUUUUAUUUUUUUAGAUUCCACUUGUAUCAUAUUACAACUGCAUAUAAAUUUAAGUACCCAUGAAUACGCCGAUACUUUAUAAUAGCAAAUACACGUGACCUCAGAUGCAAUC
rnacentral:lncRNA from 1 species